rnacentral:lncRNA from 1 species
UCACAUAUCACAACCAUGUAGUAGAUCCAAAUUCAGAAAUAGAGAGAGAGAGAACAGUUAGAUGUACUGUCACUGAAGUAGAUCCAUCAUGGAAGCGUCGUAGGGCAGCAUAUUUGCGACGGAAAGGUCUCCUUUUUAUUCUUUUAUGUCUUCUUCCAUUUACAGAUAUGUGUUUCUGUGUGUCAAUUUCGGCAUGGCAAAGUAUUGAUCUUGAUUUUUGCAUCACAUGUUGGAUAACCUACACUAGUUUGAACAUAUAGACACAUUUAAGAUAUUUGGGAAUUAAUUAUCGAAAAGGCAUGAAUCUGAAUUCUGAACAUAUACUACUCUCUGUUCUUUAAUAUAGGUCGUUUUAGACAUGUGCACAAGAAUUAAGGAAAUGAUUGAAAAACAUUAACUAUAGUAUCAAUUGUCUAUAAUACCCUUCACUUCACUUAUCUCAUAAAUAUGAAUCAAAAGAUUAAGUGGAGUAAUAAAGGACAAUUUGAAAAAAAUAGUAAUCAAUUCUCCUAGAUCUAUUUUAGAUUUUUUUUUAUAUUCCUAAUUAUUUGUCGCUACAUCCCUAUUUUGGUGUAGUAUUGUGAUAACCCAGAUUUUUGGUAAUUAUUAAAAUAAGAAUUAAAUAAAGAAAAUUCUUAUUAGAUGAUAUGGUAUACGAUAUAAUAUUGCAUAAAUGAGUAAGAGUUAUGCAAUAUGUGAUGUUUAUGCUUAAUAAAUAUAUUAGUACUAUAUAUUUAUUGUAUGUAAAUAAAAUGAACAAAUUGGAUGAUGAAAUUAAAGUAUUUAAUGAACCAAAUAUUUGAUUUUGGUUAAUACUGGAAUUACAUGUAAUUUUAAAACAUAAAAUAAAUUAUAUAAAAUUUCAAGUAUGAGGUGGAAAUAUUUUAUGUAUAUGUAAUAUAUACAUUAUGUGUUAUAAUUAAUGAGAAAGUAAGUACAUGUAAUAUACAUGUAUGUUUAUGUGUUGGAAAUUAAAAAAGGGUGAGUGCAAGUUCUGGAAAUUUAAAGUACUAUUGCUGCUGAGUCAUUUAUUAUAUAGCAGGAGGUGUGAAGUUUAGGAUGAUAAGGAACUAAGCAUGAUGCAUAGUCAUUUUCUUAAAGCGUGAGCUGGUUACUUGUUAGAUUAGUACAGGACACCAAGCAAUAUAGGAAGAAUAUAAAAACUUAUCAUUCUCUGCCCCUCACAUUUCGUCUGAAGGUAAGAAAGAAAAAAAUAGACCAGCCUUACCCAUUCCAUAUCUAUCUGUUCGAAAAGAAGGAAAGGUGAAGGAAAAUUUUGUUAACUCCCAAACCUUCACCAAACUCUUAGUUUCGGUUGGAACCAAUACAAGCAUUAGGAAAUUGAAAUUUCAAGCUAAUUUGAGGAGAAAUGAAACGCAACAGCAGGAAGAAGAUGAACUACAAUUAUCAAGCAAACAAGAAUCCAAAUAGGAACAUCAAACAAGAGGUAAAUCAAUUUCUAUUUGUCAAUUCGUGGGAAUUAGAGUAAGAUUUUAUUGUGCAUUGCUUUGUUCGAUUGCGGAAUUAUAUGAUGAUGGGAGUGUAUCCUCUAUGGAGUAAUAAAGAUGAAAAAAUUUGGGCUUGACCAUGCUCUAACAUUUAUGAAUCCUGUCCUUAAAACUAACGUGCAUAAAAUGUUUGAUUAAUUGUCUAUAAGAGACUGUUAUGCUCAAAUCGAGCAAUUUAAAGGAAGAAAUUAGUAAGAAUUCCUUCUACCCGAUUUAUGAAAUAAUUCAAGUGAAGUGGGUAAGAUAAAUUGAGUCUAAAAACUAAUAUGAAGCAAAAAUUAAGAAUCUAGCCUAGUUGAGAAUUUGACCGACAUGCUAUUUUUGAGGCUGUGUAAAAUGUGUUUGUAAAGUCUGUUUUGGUUGGGUAAUAUUUUUUUAAAAAUAUUAUGCCAUGUCAAGUAGAACAUAUUAAAAAUUGGUUACGUUUGGACUUACGGUUUAGAAGUUAUUAAUUUGAAAAGUAGGCAGUUUGGCUAUGGUGCUGAAAAUGGGCAGCAGCAGCUGCUGUGCGCUGCGCUGUGCUGCUGCGAAUGUUCGGGCUGAGCUGUUUUGGCUUCUGUUAAAUUCACUUAGAAUGCCUGAAUUCACUAAGUUAUAAUUUGUAAAAAUACUAUGAUAUACCCUUUAUAACAUGCUAAAUUUUGGUUUCCAUUGGACUUGUGGGUUGCGAACUAGAAAAUAGAAAAGGUGACCAGAGAGCGUGGUUUGAUUGCUGCAGUAGUUCGCCUGCUAUGGCUGUUUCGGUUGAGUUGUUGUGCUCUAUUUGGGACUGUUUUUGAAAACAAUGCACACCUAGUGUUUGACAAAAGUCUUAUAUGGACUGUUUUACUUAAAAACCAAGAAUUUGGGAAAGCCAAAGUUAAGAUUUCAUGUAUAAACAUCUUAUACAGUUAGUUAAAAGUUUUGAAGGAAUCAAACUAGAACGAAAAAUGAUUUAAAGCUAAAACGAGAAAUCAAAAGUUAAUUUAUCGGGCUACUUUUGGGCUAACUGUUUAGGCUAGUUAGACUUUUCAGAAAAUUAUAAUUUUUUGGGUUCUUGUAGUGUACCGUCCCAGCUAUUCGUAGCCUCCGAAACGGACUAAUUCCGACUUCGGAGGAGGGAGCUAUGGCAUACUAAAGUGGCUGUGGCGAAUCUGUCCAAAAUCUGGAAAUCAGAUUCUGACCAGCCCCUUGCACAGAUUUUCUGGAAUUAUGGGUGCAGAAUUUGGAAAAGGUUAUGGAAUAAGAGUUGUAGCCCUGGAAGUUAGCUUCGCGUGGGCGCUAGAAUCACUCAAAAAUGUUUUCAAACGAAUUAGUUAUGACUGCUUUAGCUAGAGAGGGUAAAGCUGAGAAAAAAUUAAAAACAGUUAUGAUUGGGCAUUUUUAAGUUCUGUCUUGGGCUGCCUAUGAUGUCUAAAAUGGGUGACUUAUAUUUUUUAAAUAUAUUCUCUUAUGGUGUUUAUAGCAUAUCCAAAAGUGGGGGAAAACUAACUUAAGAAUUAAAAAUUACAAAAUCGCAUAGUGGCCUCGUUGCGAAGAGGACUGCUGCCCAGGGCAGCAGUGUGCAUCAGCAACGAACUGCAGUGGCAGUGGUUGAAGUCUCCUUUGAGCUCUCAGUUGACGCAUUUAAACUAUUCAAAAUGUUAGUUUUUUUCCAAAAUGGGUGGGUAUACAACCUAUAUUUUAUUCAAAACCCAUUGGUUGGCAUAAAUAAGUUAUGCAUUAAUAUAAGAUAUACAAAUAACAUAUGUUUAUCUACAUGCUAAGAGAACAAGACAUGAUUUUUCAUUACAGGCAAGGCGUAUAUACAAAAGCAUAUAUACACCUCAUGUAUACCUGAAAUGGGGAAAAGUAAUGUUAUGUGAUAGUAUUAUUCGUGCAAAACGAAGUCCAAGUUACUCGCGAAAACGGAAUUAAGCUAUGAAUGCAUGCAUAAAGAAAAACACAAGUGCACUAUAUGAUUAUAAAUUUACAUAUAUAUGAAUAUUAAGCCUAUAAAUGGAAGGUAAUGGCAUUCCAAAAACUAUAUUGGAACCUGUUGUGCGAAAUAUGAUUAUAUAUUAAGCUAAAACUUAAAAUAUUUGAAAAAGAAUAUGGAAGUUCCUGGAAAUGAGAAUAUAAGUUAUUGAUAUAACGUAUAUGAAUGUUUAAUAUCUAUACAGAAGUAUGUGGCUAAUGUAUGCCUACAACAUAAUUGUGUAGGACUCGUGAUGCGAAGUUAAACUAGCUAAAGUUUGUAUCAAUGGUCAUUGAACGAGGCAAGUUUUUCAGUUCUGUUAUGUUUGUGGAUGGAAUGUGGUUAUGUGCUAAAUUACAUAUCAUGCUCUAUGAAUUGUUAAAGUCAAAAUAUGACUCAGUUAAUUGGGUUAUGGAACUCAAUUUAUAUGUGAUUUAUGAUAACACAUGUUGUAUGAUGUAACUCGAUAAAUUAAAAAUGUAUAAUGCAUGAAUGUAUGCUUUGUAAGGAAUUAUUGAUGCAUGUAGGAUAUGCAUAGUAAAGAAUAUAUGUUGCAUGCGGAUAUGCAUAUUAAGGGUAAUGUAGUGCAUAUGGAAUUGUGUGCUAUGUGAAACAUGAUAGACUGUUAAAUUUGCUGGGCUGUCGAGCUCAAUCUUGCAAACACAAACUUUUUGCAGGUUAAUGACGUUAUGCAAUAUUAUUUUUGUUUUGCGGAUGAUGAAGGAUGAAUGAUGGACGAAAUAAAUACAUUUCUUUGAAUUAGAAAUGGUAUAAAGCUAUGAUUGAUAGUUGCUAAAUAUAAUUGGCAGUAAUGUAUAGUUUGAAACGUUAAAUAGAUAAAGAAUGUUUAUUCUGAAAUGAGAAUAAAUAUAAUUUUAGUAUAAAGAAGAAUUGUAAAGGUUGCGAUUCAGGGAAUGAAUGAAUGGGAAUAAAGAAGAAAAUUAAAAUUUAUUCUGCAUUUUUAGCUAUUUUAACAUUAAAUAAUGUUUUAAAGCUAUAACAAGGUAGUAUUAACGCACAAGAUCGGGAAGGGAAAUGGUCCCGAUUUUGGGGUUGUUACAAGUAUCACUUUUGGGAUGUAGCGAAGGAAAUUUUAUGAAGGAAUUUAUUCCUUCACAUGAGGAGUUUUUUAGCGAAAGAACAGUGAAGGAAAAAAGUAUAGUGACAAUAUAGUUAUUAGCGAAAGAAAUAUCCUUGACAAUUUAUAUUUUUUCCUCGCAAAAUUGGGGUGAUAGAAAGAUUUUUGGAGCCAAUUUAUGAUGAAAAUUUGCGAGAAAAAAAAUCUAUUUAGUGAAUGAAUUAUUAUUCACUAUAUAUUAUUGUUCAGAAGUUUUUUGCGGGAGAUAAAAUUGGUAACAAAUUUGUUCUAAAUAAAAUUUUUAGAAUUAAUUAUGGUUAAUAUAAAUACAUUUCAUGGAAGAGGGAAAGGUUGUAAGCCCUAGCUCAAUGACUGCAUUUUGUUCCUCUUUUUACCCAAAAAAUUUUGCGUCGCUCUCUUUUUCACCUGUGAUUUCCUUUUCCCUCUCCCUCUUCCUCUUCCUAUUCACCGGCGAUUCCCUCUUCCUUCUUCAUUGUCGAGGAUUGCCUCUCUCAAUAUUAUUAUUCCUCUUCAUUUUCGUUUUUGAUCUCUCUUUAGCUACUUGGGUCUUCACAUCUCCAUAUUACUAAAGCAUAAUAAUCCAUCAAGUUAUUGUUAAGGAUAUAGCCGAAUUCUUUGAGAAUUAAGUCUAUAACCAAAUUAGAAGAGGGAUUGGAGUAAGAGGCAGUCCAAAUGAGGAUUUGAACUCAUCUAACUGGAAGUUUGGGGCUAGAACUCAGUAGAUUAAAGAGGCAAGUCUUAUGUUUUUAAUUAUGAUUACAUAAAUUUAGUUGAAUAAAGUAUUGUGUUGCAAUGUUUGUUGUGUUUGCUUAUGAACUGUUUGUAGUCAAGGGAGUUUAGAAUGUUUGUAGUAAUAAGGAAUGAUUAUUAUGGAAAAUUAUGGUUAAACCAUUCUCCAACAUCUAUUAAUUCUGGGUUUUUAAGUGUUGCAUUUAAUGUAUUUGAUAAAAUACCUCAAAGAGGUUAUGUGUUUAGAAAUUGAGAAUUAGCUUAAGUUUUGAACAAAAAGACAUUUGUUAUAUUAUCAGACACAAUUUUCUUCAUGUUAAAUACUAGAGUUGUCAAAUGUUUAGAGACAACAGAGUCAUAUGCUCAUGGAUAUCUUUUGUUAGCAGAAGGCCUGGACAAACCAGUAUUUAGAGGAGCUGAAAUAUACAUAAUGUUGGAGGUUGCCAACAGUUUGUCUAAGGCGUAAAUGUUAGGAACAUAUGUAAUAGGUUAAUACUUAAUAUCCAGUGUCCUUAUUGUAAUAGAACUGUUUGAUUUUAUAGUUUGAGAGUUACGUAAGAUGAAUUAUUGCUAGCUUGCAGCUUUACCAAGUGUUUAUGGGAAUUUAAUUUAUUGAUAAAGACUGUAUUCAGAAUAGAUAUUAAUUAUGUUUUAUGAGUAAACUUGUAGUUGUAUGUAUUAUUAUAGUAUAUAGCCUGGAAAGUGAAAAAGGUUUCAAAAUAGAGUAAGUAAUGAAUUCUGUUAUUUGAUAUUCAAUUUUUUUUUUCAGGAGCCUUUUGUUAAUAUUCCGAAGGAUACAAUUCGUGAGGCAUUAAAAGUUGUCAUUGAUAAUGUACUCUCUGUUCUUUACACUUUGCAUAGACUGUGAUGAAUUAAAUGUAACUGGUUAGAGUUUUGAAUUAUUAACCAAUACUUUUUUGUGUUGGUAUUUCUUAUAUUAGGAAUCACCCAUUAUUGAUCCAUUGAAAACGAGGAAAGGUGUGUGUAUUAUGUAGUGCAUAGCCUCAUCAUUAAUCUAUUGAAACAAUUCGUAAUUUAAAUGGGUGUUUGUUAUGGCUUUGUUGUUCAGCACCGAACAUGUUGUGUAGUUGGGUGCUUGAGAAAAUUGUAGAAAUGGUGCCUGACUUCUAUAUUUGAUGAGUAGGUAAUUAGUUUAGCUGAGAAAAAAUUAUUCUUAAUUAAACUAUUCGUUUUAGUUACACGGCAGUGGUUGUUAGGAAAUGAGUCUUUACGUAAUACAACAUUUGCCCCUCUUGGGUAGUGUGAUUCUCAAUUGGUAAAAUUGAACUUGAAAUUUUAAGGAGAGUACAGGUGUUGUAUGAAGGUUCUCUUUUAGAAAUUCAAUCAUCUUCGUUUCUUGGUUUACCCAUUAUUAUAUAUUCAGAAGAUCAAUAAUUGCAAUAGUUUUCGUCAAAAUUGAUAACAUACUUUCUUGAUGAAGUUGUUCAUCCUACAAGUAUGAGAUGGGUCAUGACUCUCCUU